rnacentral:lncRNA from 1 species
UCUGCUCAAUCAUGUGACCUCCUGACCCGUUGUCACUCAGGAGAAAGGGGGGCGGGUGCUUGCGAACUGUCCAAUCAGGGGCGCAGCAGGGGAAAGUGGGUGGGCCACGCUCAGCAAACUGCGUGGACCCUCGUGGCCACGCUUUGCGUGGAAUCUCGUCUGCGUUUACGUGUCUCAGGUGUGUCUGCUGCAACGUAAAUACGUGCUGCACGGGCCGCGGGAGUCUAUGGGAAGACGCCGGAGGAGCCCAAAGCCGGGAAAUGGGAAGAGAACCUCAAGAUGUGAGAUGAAUGUGUUUACGUUUUCAGGGAUCCCCAACCCCCGGGCCACGAACUGAUAUGGGUCCGUGGCCUGUUAGGAACCGGGCCACACAGCAGGAGGUGAGCGGCAGGCAAGCGAGCGAAGCUCCAUCUGUAUUUACAGCUGCU